rnacentral:rRNA from 1 species
UACGUAGGGGGCAAGCGUUGUCCGGAUUUAUUGGGCGUAAAGAGCGUGUAGGCGGCCUGACAGGUCUGCUGUGAAAACUCGAGGCUCAACCUCGAGAUGUCGGCGGAAACCGUCUGGCUAGAGUCCGGAAGAGGAGAGUGGAAUUCCUGGUGUAGCGGUGAAAUGCGCAGAUAUCAGGAAGAACACCUAUGGCGAAGGCAGCUCUCUGGGACGGUACUGACGCUGAGACACGAAAAGCGUGGGUAGCAAACAGG